CGAGCUGGCCGGGUGGCGGCCGGCCUGGCGCAAGCCGGGCUGGAGGAAAGUCCGGACUUCGCAGGGCAAGGCACCUGGCGCAAGCCAGGGCGGGGCGACCCGACGGAAAGUGCCACAGAAAACAAACCGCCCCGCACGCGGGGUAAGGGUGAAACGGUGGGGUAAGAGCCCACCAGCGGGCCGGGUAACCGGUUCGGCUCGGCAAACCCUGCCCGAAGCAAGGCCAAAUAGGGGGAGGAUGACGCGGCCCGCCGACUCCCCGGGUUGGCCGCAUCAGCCAAAUCGCCACACAAAGACAGAAUCCGGCUUAUAGGCCAGCUCUCAAU
rnacentral:RNase_P_RNA from 2 species